rnacentral:rRNA from 1 species
AACGAACGCUGGCGGCAGGCCUAACACAUGCAAGUCGAGCGCCCCGCAAGGGGAGCGGCGGACGGGUGAGUAACGCGUGGGAAUAUGCCCUUUGCUACGGAAUAGUCUCGGGAAACUGGGGGUAAUACCGUAUACGCCCUUUGGGGGAAAGAUUUAUCGGCGAAGGAUUAGCCCGCGUUGGAUUAGGUAGUUGGUGGGGUAAUGGCCUACCGAGCCGACGAUCCAUAGCUGGUUUGAGAGGAUGAUCAGCCACACUGGGACUGAGACACGGCCCAGACUCCUACGGGAGGCAGCAGUGGGGAAUCUUAGACAAUGGGGGCAACCCUGAUCUAGCCAUGCCGCGUGAGUGAUGAAGGCCUUAGGGUUGUAAAGCUCUUUCAGCUGGGAAGAUAAUGACGGUACCAGCAGAAGAAGCCCCGGCUAACUCCGUG